rnacentral:rRNA from 1 species
ACUCAAAGGAAUUGACGGGGGCCCGCACAAGCGGUGGAGCAUGUGGUUUAAUUCGACGCAACGCGCAGAACCUUACCCGGGCUCGAAAUGUUAUGGCCACCCCUGGAAACAGGGUCUUCUACCUUCGGGUAGACCAUAGUAUAGGUGCUGCAUGGCUGUCGUCAGCUCGUGUCGUGAGAUGUUGGGUUAAGUCCCGCAACGAGCGCAACCCUUAUUGUCAGUUACCAGCGGGUAAAGCCGGGCACUCUGGCAAGACUGCCUGUGACAAACAGGAGGAAGGUGGGGAUGACGUCAAGUCCUCAUGGCCCUUACGUCCGGGGCUACACACGUGCUACAAUGGCUGGUACAAAGAGAUGCAAGACCGCGAGGUGGAGCUAAUCUAUUAAAACCAGUCCCAGUUCGGAUUGGAGUCUGCAAUUCGACUCCAUGAAGUUGGAAUCGCUAGUAAUCGCGGAUCAGCACGCCGCGGUGAAUACGUUCCCGGGCCUUGUACACACCGCCCGU